rnacentral:rRNA from 1 species
UACGGAGGGUGCAAGCGUUAUCCGGAUUCACUGGGUUUAAAGGGUGCGUAGGUGGGCAAGUAAGUCAGUGGUGAAAUCUCCGGGCUUAACCCGGAAACUGCCAUUGAUGCUAUUUGUCUUGAAUACUGUGGAGGUCAGCGGAAUAUGUCAUGUAGCGGUGAAAUGCUUAGAUAUGACAUAGAACACCAAUUGCGAAGGCAGCUGGCUACACAAAUAUUGACGCUGAGGCACGAAAGCGUGGGGAGCAAACAGG